AGAUGUGAGGGCACUCCAGCUGUCACGUCUGUCAUCACAUUGAUCACCAGGCUUGAUUUGGCUGAUUUGCCUGGUGAGGAGGGUGUCCCCCUACUACCUCACUGCUCCAUGUGCGUCCCUCCUGAAACUGCAAACUCUGUCGAAGAGGAUGACCUUCCCUGAUAGAGGAGAACUGUUCUUUGGUCAAGGUUAUACGAGUAGCUGUGUUCCCCUGCCAGAACCUCCCAACAAGCUCUCCAGGUCCAUUUGUAGGAGAACAUAGGGGUAUUAAGCUUUGAAGACUCCAGACACAUCCAAAUGAGGCACUGCACGUGGCAGUCUGCCUUUCUUU
ensembl:misc_RNA 7SK 7SK RNA